rnacentral:lncRNA from 1 species
GAAGACAUAUGUACAUCUUAACUCCAAGCAAAAUGUAUAUUUUAUUACGGCGAAUAUGUCUUUUUCUAAGCCAAAUGAAUGUGUAAGCUAAAUACCGCUAGGAACCCAUAGUAAUCUGCUUUGACCAGCCAACGAACUAAAAAAACUCAGCAUACUCAAAACAUCAACUCUAGAUCAUAUGGGGAACAUUUUUCCAAUUGAGAUUCUAGAUUCUAGAAGUACUCACCUUUUUAAAUUAAUUGAAAUGGACAAAUAAAAAUACGAUAGUUAACAUCGGAAAAGACUAUUAUAACUGAAACAACUUGAAUUUAAUUCAUAAUAGGCUCUGCACACUGAGCCCCUCCAUGGGGAACUUUGGAAUUUUUUGAAAGAUGUGAAACGACUUGACGAAUGUGUCCAAGGAUUCGAAGAGAUUGGAUUUCCACAGUGUCUAGGUAAGAAAGCAAUAGAAAAAUGCAUUAUACAUCUACAGAUAUGCACAUACAUAUGUAAAUUGGGUUUCCCUUUAUUGUAGAUGGAUGUCAAAUCGAAAAAAAACCAUCAGGAGCUGAGGCAGUCUACCAUCACAAUUAUAAAGGCUGGUACUCCACCACCUCUCGUUUACAUGGUUGACUUGAGACAGGGACAGGUCUAAUAAGCCAUCAAUAAAAUCAUGUGACAUGGGCACAAGGUUAUUAGACUCGUUUACCGAAGACCAAAGAGUACCUGGCAUGUUGAAAUCCCCCAGAACUAUUAAAUCGUCUUUAUCAGAUAGCGAGGAAGAAACAGUUUUAAUGCGGACAAGUACUGCUCGUAUAUGAAGACAUCCAAAGUCGGUGGAAUAUACGACGCAGAGGAAUUCCAGGUUUUGUGAUACCUGGACUAUAAAAGGCUCCGAUGUGAAGUAAGAGUCCACUGCAAUCGGAACCCCUCCUCCACGACGAGACGAAUGGUCAUUAGUAUAAAUUGUAUACCGAUCUGCCAAAACUUCGGAACUAAGAAUUUACAUCCACUUUUGUGCACAAAUAUAAUAUACCCAACUUACAAUUCGAGUACCGAAUAUAAAAAUAAGGAUCACUCCAGAAUUCCUUAAAAUAAACAUUUAUAGAGUAAUUGCUGAAGCAUAAAAAACUGUCCAUGUUAUUUUUGACAUGACGUACAUAUGUACAUUUGCAUCUCAAGUUCUUCAGAAUUGAGCCAUGUCUGUCUGUCCGUCUGUCCGUCCUGAUGAGCGCCUGGUACUCAGAGACCAUAAAAGCUAGAGCCACCAAAUUUUGCAUACAGACUUUUGUAUGCUCACACUGUUUCAGUCAAAAAUGUUUUAAAAACGUUUCCAGCGAACUAGUUUUGAAUUUGGCCCAUGUAAGUGGUCUGUGAUCUGUACCAGUUUGAAUUGACCGAAAAUGUAUGGUCUGAAGUGUUUGGUUGCCCAAACAAUUGCUAACAUUUGUAAGCGCCACAUGCGUGGCGCCCAACGAACCUUUGGAAAAACCUUCGCCAUCUCAAGUUCUUGUAAAAAAUUCAGAAUCAUGAAAAUUUAAUAUUUCUACUGAUUUUGCAGAAACACAGUCCAAUUAAAUUAUUAUUGUUGCCAUACUGAAUGAAAAAUUUGAGGUGGCUGCCUCCUCUAGCACGCUUUUGCUCUCUUCCUCGUGCAGUUUAGCCCCUGAAGUGCAGGAAUUCAUUGUAUAAGUUUCUCAAGUCAUAGCGCUAAUUUUUACAUAAGUACAUACAUAUGUACAUAAGUACAUACAUAUGUACAUAAGUACAUACAUAUGUACAUAUGUAUGUAUAUACAAACUAAGUAAGGGGUAUCAUGGUACCGGUAUUCACGUCACUGUCGGCUUUUAUUAUGUUAAUGCGUGUUUUUAUACCCGGUUCUCGAAGAGUAAAUAGGGUAUAUUGUAUUUGUUUGAAUAACGGUUGUAUGUAACGCACAGAAGGAAGCGGUCCCGACCCCUAAAGUAUAUAUAUUCUUGAUCAGCAUCAAUAGCCGAGUCGAUGGAGCUAUGUCUGUCUGUCCGUCCGUCCGUCUUGUUUGUCGGCUAGUUCUCAGAGACUAUAAGAGCUAGAGCCACCAAAUUUUGGCUCCGGACUGCUGUAUGCUCACACUGAAACCAGUGUAUUUAAAAAAUUAUCCCCGCCCCCUUCCCUGCCGCAAAAGGGCGAAAUCCUACAGUUUUGAAGAUAAAAGAAAACUAAAACGAAAACGCCAUUCCGUAGGGAAUGACCAUAUCUAUCAGAUCACCAAAUUGGGAUCCGAUUGGAUCAUUAUUACAGCCACAAUGAAGAAAUUAAUUUCCAGUGGCUAAACCCACCCCGUC